AUUGAACGCUGGCGGCAGGCCUAACACAUGCAAGUCGAACGGCAGCACAGAAGAGCUUGCUCUUUGGGUGGCGAGUGGCGGACGGGUGAGUAAUGUCUGGGAAACUGCCCGAUGGAGGGGGAUAACUACUGGAAACGGUAGCUAAUACCGCAUAACGUCGCAAGACCAAAGUGGGGGACCUUCGGGCCUCACACCAUCGGAUGUGCCCAAAUGGGAUUAGCUAGUAGGUGGGGUAAUGGCUCACCUAGGCGACGAUCCCUAGCUGGUCUGAGAGGAUGACCAGCCACACUGGAACUGAGACACGGUCUAGACUCCUACGGGAGGCAGCAGUGGGGAAUAUUGCACAAUGGGCGCAAGCCUGAUGCAGCCAUGCCGCGUGUAUGAAGAAGGCCUUCGGGUUGUAAAGUACUUUCAGCGGGGAGGAAGGCGGUGAGGUUAAUAACCUCGCCGAUUGACGUUACCCGCAGAAGAAGCACCGGCUAACUCCGUGCCAGCCGCCGCAGUAAAAC
rnacentral:rRNA from 1 species